UUUAAUCAGUUGUGUUAUUCGAUCAUUCACAAGAAUUUAGAGAAUUUACGAUAUGGUUUUGUGGAAAAUUGAAAGAACCCACUUGGUAAAAAAAUGAAAACUCUGAAACUCUGAAGAUAGCAUUAAAUAUACGACGUUAUAUAUACGAGGAAUCGUCGAAACUUACACAUGUAGAGAAACCAAGAUAAGCUGAAGUUGAAGUCGGAGAUGAUAAUCAUUAUAGUUCAGGUGGCAGUGGCAGUUUAGAAUACAAUAACUUGACCGUUUAUUUGGAAACAAUAAGUAAAAAGACCAUGACAUUAGCUAUAGCAAAACUUGGCAAGCUGACCAACCAACUGUGCAACAAGAAAAUGUUAGAUUCAUCUCUUCAGCUGAAUAAGAAUGAUGUUCUUGAAAUAUUUAAAAUUAUUUGAUAUCCAAAUUUAAAGGACAUGUGAAAAUGAUAAAAUAGUAUUAUCCGAUGAGAUUGUCAAUUGUUAAUUCAUUACAAAUUAUUUAGA